UACGAAGGGGGCUAGCGUUGCUCGGAAUCACUGGGCGUAAAGCGCACGUAGGCGGAUUGUUAAGUCAGGGGUGAAAUCCUGGAGCUCAACUCCAGAACUGCCUUUGAUACUGGCGAUCUCGAGUCCGGGAGAGGUGAGUGGAACUGCGAGUGUAGAGGUGAAAUUCGUAGAUAUUCGCAAGAACACCAGUGGCGAAGGCGGGUCUCUGGACAGUUCCUGACGCUGAGGCACGAAGGUCAGGGGAGCAAACGGG
rnacentral:rRNA from 1 species